CAUCUGCUCUCAGCUGACAUUGAAACCGACACUCCCGUCGCCUGGGCAAGCUCUGGUCUGGCGCCUUCUCGGCGGACCAUCCCCUGAGUGAAGUGCUCGCGUGUGGCCAUAAGUACAGCUAUUUCCCAUCUGCGGCAGGCCUCAUGUUGCUGCGGCCGUAUAAAUACUUGGACCAUCCGAUGAAUUGCGAUAGUGGUAAUGAAACGAUAAUUUUUUCAAUUUGAAAAAAUGCAAGAUGGCCCGCUCCGACAAGGUUAAGUUUGAGGCACAGGCCAAAAUCAUUCCUCAAGAGGCCACGAUCAUAUAUGUACCAGCGCUUCCAAAAGCUGUUCGACUCAGCUGAGGCUAAAGACUUUUGGCAAGAGUACUGCAAGGAGGUCAAAAUUUUCCAGGCAACCACUAAAAACAUGAAGCCAAGUCUAUGCGUCGCAAUGGACGAGCGCAUGUACAACAACCUCAUUAAAGCCGGACAAGAAAAUACUCCAGCGCCCGCUGAAACCCAAUAAAACCAACUAUACUGUUAAAGUACCCAGCAUUUGUAGUUCUGCACAAUUCAGCUACAGCUCAAGAAGACGACACCACCGUGGGCAAAGUUGUACUGCAAAAUUAAUAGAAUUGAAACUACAUACACAAUGUAUUACACAUGCAUAUCAAGUUCCUUAUGUGACGUAGUUUAGACUAUGGUAGAGGCAUCUUCUUCCAGAAGAUCUAGUUGACCCUACAUACAAAUUACAAUGUAUUUCGUUAACAAUGAAUAAAACUAUA